GUGCCAGCAGCCGCGGUAAUACGUAGGGUGCGAGCGUUAAUCGGAAUUACUGGGCGUAAAGCGUGCGUAGGCGGUUCGUUAAGUUCGUUGUGAAAGCCCCGGGCUCAACCUGGGAAUGGCAAUGGAAACUGGCGGGCUAGAGUGUGGCAGAGGGGGGUGGAAUUCCACGUGUAGCAGUGAAAUGCGUAGAGAUGUGGAGGAACACCGAUGGCGAAGGCAACCCCCUGGGCUGACACUGACGCUCAGGCACGAAAGCGUGGGGAGCAAACAGGAUUAGAAACCCCAGUAGUCC
rnacentral:rRNA from 1 species